CCAAAACCACGACACAAAUGUCCAUAAGAAAUUUCCCUUGCAACGAAAGAUUCCAAGACCUGAAACUUCAGGGCAGCCCCGCUCCCACCCAGGAAAAAACCAUCUCGGCAACUAUUUCCACACUCGUUCUUCCAUCUCAUUCGGUUUCAAACAACCGAAAGCUGCGAGCUUUGGUUCUCUUUCUCCAGCGGACGCAGGAACGGAGCUCGACCCACCAAACCAAACCUGCCCAUCAUCUAACCUUUCCAUCGCCAUGAAUGAAGACGGAGGUGGUCUGAUCACCUACCCACAAUAAAUCUCCAUCACCGAAGAGCUACCCGUAAAUAACAAUUCCUUGUGCGCCCCAAUUAAUUGCGUGCCCAAUAAGUUUCACCUAGAAAUGAGGUCCCCAUUUAAGGCCUUUAACUACCACAGCCUCAGACUUGUCCACACUUGUCGCUUAUCCCGCUAUUAUCAUUCUUCUCCUCCUCCUCCUCCUCUCAGAGCAUCUGCUUUCUCUCCUCUCACUCGGGCACUUGAUUCUUGCCUCUCUCAGUCUCGUCUUCUGUCGACAUCCACGUUCAUGGAGGUGGUUAAAGCGGCUGCAAAGCAAGGUUCUGCAGCAUGUGAUAGUGUUGCUAUCAGGGCUGAUCAGAAGAGCUACAGUUAUCAACAACUUGUCUCUAGUGCAGUAAAUAUAUCAAGGUUCUUGUCUAGCGAGGACUUAAAUUCUAGUGCAGGAAAUGGACAUCUUAAUGGUGCUUGUGUAGGAAUCAUAGCCAAACCUUCAGCGGAGUUUGUUGCUGGAAUUCUGGGAACUUGGCUUAGUGGAGGAGUUGCAGUUCCUCUUGCUCUCAGUUACCCCGAAGCCGAACUUCUUCAUGUUCUGAAAGAUUCGGAUGUCUCUAUUAUACUUAGCACUGAAGAUUACCAUGAGCUAAUGCAAAAUGUGGCUGCAAAAAGCUCUGCAAAGUGUUCACUUAUCCCCUCUGUUCCCGUUGGAAGAACUGAGGCAGAGAAAGCACCGCUAGAAAAUUUUCACAGCUCUCAUGAGAGAGGUGAAGAAGAUCCCGCCUUAAUUGUAUAUACAAGUGGUACAACUGGAAAACCGAAAGGAGCCGUGCACACUCACAAAAGCAUCAGUGCACAGGUCCGAACUUUGACUGAUGCCUGGGAGUAUACAUCUUCGGAUCAGUUUCUGCACUGUCUGCCUCUUCAUCAUGUUCACGGGUUAUUCAAUGCUCUACUAGCCCCUCUCUAUGCAGGGUCCACGGUUGAGUUUAUGACGAAAUUUAGCGUGAGGGGAAUAUGGCAGCGCUGGUGUGAAUCAUAUCAUGAAGGAAUUAAGGCUGAUGAUGCGAUUACUGUUUUCACAGGGGUUCCAACUAUGUACACACGAUUAAUACAAGGUUAUGAAGCUAUGGGCACAGAUCUACAAGCUGCUUCAGCUUCUGCAGCUCGCAAUUUGAGGUUGAUGAUGUGUGGUUCCUCUGCUUUACCUUAUCCUGUUAUGCAAAGAUGGGAAGCCAUAACAGGACAUCGCCUUUUGGAACGGUAUGGGAUGACCGAGUUUGUCAUGGCAAUCUCGAACCCUUUAAAAGGCGAAAGAAGAGGUGGUACUGUUGGAAAACCAUUUCCUGGUGUUGAGGUUAAGAUUCUCGAAGAUGAAAGUGGAAAUGAUGCCCCUGGUGUGGGUGAGCUGUGUAUCAGAAGCCCUUCCUUGUUCAAGGAGUAUUGGAAGCUUCCUGAGGUAACUAGAGAAUCAUUUAUUGAGGGUGGAUUCUUUAAGACUGGUGAUGCUGUUAGAGUGGAUGAAGAUGGAUAUUACCUCAUCAUGGGACGUACCAGCGCCGAUAUCAUGAAGGUCGGGGGAUACAAGCUGUCAGCAUUAGAAAUUGAGGCAAUUCUUUUGGAGCAUCCUGUUGUGGCAGAGUGUUGUGUGUUGGGUUUACCAGAUAAAGACUAUGGAGAAGUUGUGUGCGCUAUUAUUGUGCCUGAGGAAGAAGCAAAGAGGAAAUGCGCAGAAGAGCUGAAGCCUGCGAUAACUUUGGACGAACUUUGUACCUGGGCAAAGGAUAAACUUGCACCAUACAAGCUACCAACAAGAUUGUUCCUAUGGGACUCGCUUCCUCGUAAUGCCAUGGGAAAGGUCAACAAAAAGGAGUUGAAGAAAAAGCUAUCUUUUGAAGGUCUAUGAGGUGGUUUACCUUCCCAUGAAAGGUUUCGGAGUCUUUCAGGUAUAAUAUAGAGGAUGAAGUUGUGAUCAAGGCAAAGAUAUUAGGCUCGAAGUUGAAGCAAAACUUUGAUAUACCGUCGGAGCAAGAGGCGAGCAAUCCGUAAGCUUCUGCCAAAUAGAUCCGUCUGUACAGAUCGAGUACAUCGAUUGUUCUUCUUACGGUUUCUUUGGAUCGGCAUGGCAAAAGGGGUUUAUAUACUUUGAUUUUUAUUGUCUUAUCUUUUCCCGAAGCAUUUGAUUAAGAGUUCUAGGAAUGUGAAAGUGACUCAUCUGAGACAUAUGGCAUAGGUUGAGGCUGAAUUAUGUAAUUAGGGAAUAUUUACAGCAUGAGUCCACCUGAGAAAUGAUAAUACAUCAUGCUUCCCAUCAUUCCUACAGAAA